rnacentral:rRNA from 1 species
CGGACGGGUGAGUAAUGCCUAGGAAUCUGCCUGGUAGUGGGGGACAACGUUUCGAAAGGAACGCUAAUACCGCAUACGUCCUACGGGAGAAAGCAGGGGACCUUCGGGCCUUGCGCUAUCAGAUGAGCCUAGGUCGGAUUAGCUAGUUGGUGAGGUAAUGGCUCACCAAGGCGACGAUCCGUAACUGGUCUGAGAGGAUGAUCAGUCACACUGGAACUGAGACACGGUCCAGACUCCUACGGGAGGCAGCAGUGGGGAAUAUUGGACAAUGGGCGAAAGCCUGAUCCAGCCAUGCCGCGUGUGUGAAGAAGGUCUUCGGAUUGUAAAGCACUUUAAGUUGGGAGGAAGGGUUGUAGAUUAAUACUCUGCAAUUUUGACGUUACCGACAGAAUAAGCACCGGCUAACUCUGUGCCAGCAGCCGCGGUAAUACAGAGGGUGCAAGCGUUAAUCGGAAUUACUGGGCGUAAAGCGCGCGUAGGUGGUUCGUUAAGUUGGAUGUGAAAGCCCCGGGCUCAACCUGGGAACUGCAUUCAAAACUGACGAGCUAGAGUAUGGUAGAGGGUGGUGGAAUUUCCUGUGUAGCGGUGAAAUGCGUAGAUAUAGGAAGGAACACCAGUGGCGAAGGCGACCACCUGGACUGAUACUGACACUGAGGUGCGAAAGCGUGGGGAGCAAACAGGAUUAGAUACCCUGGUAGUCCACGCCGUAAACGAUGUCAACUAGCCGUU